GAUGAACGCUGGCGGCGUGCCUAACACAUGCAAGUCGAGCGAUUCUCCUCGGAGAAGAGCGGCGGACGGGUGAGUAACGCGUGGGUAACCUGCCCUGUACACACGGAUAACAUACCGAAAGGUAUGCUAAUACGAGAUAAUAUGCUUUUAUCGCAUGGUAGAAGUAUCAAAGCUCCGGCGGUACAGGAUGGACCCGCGUCUGAUUAGCUAGUUGGUAAGGUAACGGCUUACCAAGGCGACGAUCAGUAGCCGACCUGAGGGGGUGAUCGGCCACAUUGGAACUGAGACACGGUCCAAACUCCUACGGGAGGCAGCAGUGGGGAAUAUUGCACAAUGGGCGAAAGCCUGAUGCAGCAACGCCGCGUGAGCGAUGAAGGCCUUCGGGUCGUAAAGCUCUGUCCUCAAGGAAGAUAAUGACGGUACUUGAGGAGGAAGCCCCGGCUAACUACGUGCCAGCAGCCGCAGUAA
rnacentral:rRNA from 1 species